ensembl:lncRNA
CAAAUCAAAAACAGCCACAACGAUAAUAAUAAUAAACUUAAGUAGCUCUUCACAAUUGUUUAAAAAAGUCAGGAAAAUUCAUUGGUCUAACAAUGUAUAGGAACCAUGACAUAAGCUCUAUUACUGACCAAUUAUUAGAUGUGUAUUCUUUAUUAACCCCAUUAGCAAGAACUAAUUUUUUCUUCACUGUUUUAAACACACACGUGGAGUGUGCUGUCUAAAUUACGUGUCCAUAAAUGCAGUCCCACAGAAGAACACCUGGGCAUGUGGUGUCGUCACCAAUGUGGGCGUGGCGACGGCGCUGGCCAGAGCAGAGGCCGCGAGAGCGAGCGCAGUAAUUCCCGGUGAACGAGCGCAUGAUGAUUUACUUUACCGGAGUUUGUCCGGCAAUGUCAUGAGUGAAAACGUCUCGGAAACCAUCUGGUCUACGCCGCUCAGAUAAAAUGAACACACCAAGAGGAUUUUUAAUGUUUUUGAAGACAAAGUAAACCUCGAGGAGCGUCUGUCUGGAUUAAACUGAAUAUAGAAUAUAAACAGAACAUCUCAGCGGACAGGGGGAGCAGUGAAGCUAUAAUCUGAGUAUGGGCCCUGAGGAGCUGCCUGAUUUUAUGGACACGGUAUGAUUUUGUGCAUAUGUGUUUCUGUCUGAGUAAAGAACCAUAUGUGUACCAAUUAUGUGCCAAUAAUUUAGGAUUAUCUGUUUGUUCUGACUCUCACUCAUUACAUCCAGAUGUCGAGCACUCCUCCUCUCUCUCCUCGUACUGUUGGUUCCUCAUUCUCACCUCCUUACUGCUCUCCACCGGUUGUGACCUUACGGCCCCCUGCCACUCGUCACCUGACUCAGCUCGACCCCUGGAGGAGACACAGCUGGGAACCUGGAGCUGUGGCACAGGGAUAUCCACCCAAUGACACACGCAGUGUGAGUCUUGAAGAUCUGGAUCUGGAUGAGAUUUCCUUAGUGAUAAACGGUGCAUUGAGGUCAAAAAGAGCUCGAGAAGCCCGCAGGUCUGUCACUCAAGCUUCCCUGACGUCACUUACCGAAGAGGAAGUUGGAGCAGAGCAUCAGGAACAUCAUCAAUCAGCGCUGGAGGAGCAGUCCAAUCAGAUGCAUGGCUGCAGUGCCUCCGCCCCUAGCCUGUAUAUGAUGCAGCAGAUGCCUAGAAGCUCCGCCCCUCGCCCCCGCUCCUACUGCCAUGAGAGUGUUUCGUACCACCAGAUUGGAGGAUCAUCUCACAGGUGUGACUCAGUACUGGCUUG